AAAGUCAUACUUUAUUCCAAACAGUUGCUAGGCUCCGACUACGAUUUUGAAGAAUAUUAUUUUUAUAUAAACGGGUCAUAUUUAUUAUUAUUCGUAUGUUAAAUUUGUGAAAUAAGUAGCAGUUUUUACAAUGACCUCGUUUACUCAGCUUUCUCGACUAAGCAAUUACUUCUUAGGAAGUUAUAAAAGUGUUCUACACGGAAGAACUAGUUGGUUGAAUCCCAUUCAAGUAUGCAGCUACACAAGAAAGUCUGCAGAAGAGAGGCUUGGCUUAGAAAAGCCAAAGAGGCCUCUAACACCAUUCUUCAAGUUUAUGACACAGAUGAGGCCAGCUCUCCUGGCUAAAAACCCUGGCAUCUCAUCUAAGGAGGCUAUUUCCUGGACAUCUAAACACUGGCAACAGUUGGAUUUAGAGACUAAAACUCAGAUGGCAAAGGAAUAUGAGAAAGAUUUAGAGGAUUACAAGAAAAUCAAGGCAAUGUAUGAAUCUUCACUAACAGAUAAACAGAAGGAAGACAUCAAAAGACUGAAGGAUGAAAUGGCUGUAGCCAAAGAAAAAAGAAAGUUACGAGCCGAGUACAAAGAGCUUGGACGUCCAAAAAAGCCAAUGUCUUCCUAUUUCCUCUUUACUCAAACUAGAAAGGAAGUUUUCAAAGGCAAAGACUUGAAACAAUAUCAAGAACUAGUCAAACAAGAGUGGCUUAAGUUAUCUGCAAAUGAAAAAGCUAAGUAUGAAAAGCAAGCUGCAGACCUCAUGACUAAGUAUAAGAAAGAACUAGAAGCUUGGGAACUGAAAAUGAUAUCAAUGGGCCGCACAGAUCUUGUUCGUAGCAAACCAAUCCGAGAGAAAAAGCCUAAGGCUGCAGCAAAGACCCAAUAGGAACUCGGGUGCUCUGAUGAAUCAGCUGACUCUUCCCUAAGUAGCGAUAAGGAUGAUAUUGUACAAAGUAUUGAUAAGCCUACUUCCACCAGUCAAAACUUAUUUACAGUUAAGGAAAACGUAGUUCCUCAAAAUAUUUCUGUCACUUCAGAGUCAGAUCGUCGGAGCACGGGUGAUACAGGCGUUCCUAAAACGCCAGUUCAAAGUGACCAACGUAAACAGACCAAUAUUUGAAGCCUGAGAGACAAAGCACUAAAAUAAAACAAACUGCCAUUCACAUUAACCAUUUUUUAUUUCAAAGAUGUUACAAAAUAUAAUUAAAAUAAACUUUAUUAUUUUA
rnacentral:misc_RNA from 1 species